rnacentral:lncRNA from 1 species
UUAGGCCUACAUGUGAGGUUUGGUUCAGGGCUGAGACCUCAUGAGAGAGAAGAGGAAGGCUGUGUCCUGAAAUCUUUUGCAGACUAUCCCCUUCCGUGCUUGGAGUGGUUCUGGGGUAGCAGCUAAUUACAUCAUCCUCCAGCCUGGCUUGGGCCUGGCCGAUAGUGGGGGGCAUUCUCCUGGCUGUCGUGGUCGGCCAGACGGGAGGACAUGUGACUGAUGCAGAGCCAAUCGGAGUCUUUCCCUGGGAGUUUAUGGACAGACACCAGAGGCCUCUCCUUGUCAUGGAUGUGGAGACAGGACCUGCUGGGACUCCGCAUAUUCGAUCUAAGAGGCAAAUUGAUUUUGUGGCUUCAGCUCCUUCUGCGUCCUCGCGUUAGAGUCUGGGGAGACGCCUCUGAGGCUCCUAUUGUUCACUUUCAGAUGACUUCAUACCGAAUGGAUUUUAAGUGAAAUCUUGGGGGCUCUACAGAAUGCAGAAGACUAAGCUGGGGAUAUGUGUGACCUCAGAGAUUCGGCGGCGCUGCGAUGCCCGAGGAGCCACGUCGGGGCUGGGCCCUUGAGAGCCACUUAGUGGGGAUCACAGUGGCUCCCAGCUCCCAACAGCCCACC